rnacentral:rRNA from 1 species
CUGCGACGUGGGACGACAAGAUUAUAGAAGAAUUACCUGGGAAGGUAAGCCAAAGAGAGUAACAGCCUCGUAUUCGAAAUAGUCUUUAACCCUAGCAGUAUCCUGAGUACGGCGAGACACGAGAAAUCUCGUCGGAAUCUGGGAGGACCAUCUCCUAACCCUAAAUACUCUCUAGUGACCGAUAGUGAACCAGUACCGUGAGGGAAAGGUGAAAAGAACCCCGGGAGGGGAGUGAAAGAGAACCUGAAACCGCAUGCCCACAAGAAGUCAGAGCCCGUCAAAGGGUGAUGGCGUGCCUUUUGUAGAAUGAGCCGGCGAGUCACGAUCAGCAGGCGAGGUUAAGCAGGAGAUGCGGAGCCGCAGCGAAAGCGAGUCUUAAGAGGGCGAAAUAGUCUGAGGUCGUGGACCCGAAACCGGGUGAUCUAGCCAUGAGCAGGUUGAAGUCGGGGUAAGACCCGAUGGAGGACCGAACCGACCCCCUUUGAAACGUUGGCGGAUGAGUUGUGGCUAGGGGUGAAAUUCCAAUCGAACCCGGAGAUAGCUGGUUCUCCCCGAAAUAGCUUUAGGGCUAGCCUCAGGGAAGAUUAUAGACGGUAGAGCACUGAUCUGGCAAGGGGGCGUAAAGCCUACCGACCCUAGUCAAACUUCGAAUGGCUAUAAUUAAGACCCUGGGAGUCAGACUGCGAGUGAUAAGACCCGUAGUCAAGAGGGAAACAGCCCAGACCGCCGACUAAGGUCCCCAAUGCUGUACUAAGUGGAAAAGGAUGUAAGACUUCAUAAACAACCAGGAUGUUGGCUUAGAAGCAGCCACCAUUAAAAGAGUGCGUAAUAGCUCACUGGUCGAGAGGCCUUGCGCCGAAGAUGUCCGGGGCUCAAGUACAGAACCGAAGUCGCGGCAGGAUUAUAUAAUUCUGGGUAGGGGAGCGUUGUAUAUCCGACUGAAGGUGUACCGGAAGGAGCGCUGGAGGAUAUACAAGAGAGAAUGCCGGUAUGAGUAGCGAAAAGAACAGUGAGAAUCUGUUCCACCGAAAGCCUAAGGUUUCCUGAGCAACGCUCGUCGACUCAGGGUAAGUCGGGACCUAAGCCGAGGCAAAAAGCAUAGGCGAUGGACAACAGGUUAAUAUUCCUGUACCGCUUCAAAUCGUUUGAGCAAUGGAGUGACACAGAAGGUAGCUUGAGCACGCGAAUGGAUGUGCGUGUCGAAGGUGGUAGAUUGCAGUAUAGGCAAAUCCGUACUGUAUAAGAUCGAGAACUGAUAGAUAGACGAUACUUCGGUAAAGUCAAAUUCAAGUGAGCCAUGCUGUCGAGAAAAGCUUCUAGUGAGAGAUGAGGCGCCCGUACCGAAACCGACACAGGUAGGCGGGGAGAGAAUCCUAAGGUGCGCGGGACAACCCUCGUUAAGGAACUCGGCAAAUUGUAUCCGUAACUUAGGGAUAAGGAUAGCCGGAGGAUGUGAAGGGAUUUACUUCUGGAGCGUCAGCCGGUGGCACAAGAGAGGCCCAAGCGACUGUUUAGCACAAACACAGGUGCCUGCGAAAGAGAAAUCUGAAGUAUAGGUGCUGACACCUGCCCGGUGCUGGAAGGUUAAGAGGAGGGCUUAGAGGCAACUCGAAGGCUUGAAUUGAAGCCCCAGUAAACGGCGGCCGUAACAAUAACGGUCCUAAGGUAGCGAAAUUCCUUGUCGGGUAAGUUCCGACCCGCACGAAAGGUGUAACGACUUGGGCACUGUCUCAACGAGGGACCCGGUGAAAUUGAAGUACCUGUGAAGAUGCAGGUUACCCGCGACUGGACAGAAAGACCCCAUGGAGCUUUACUGCAACCUGACAUUGAUGUUCGGUAAAUAACGUACAGGAUAGGUGGGAGACGGAGAAGUAUUGGCGUUAGCUGAUAUGGAGUCAACCUUGGGAUACCACCCUUUAUUUAUUGGACCUCUAACUGAAGAAGUAACGACUCUCAGGACAGUAUCAGGCGGGCAGUUUGACUGGGGCGGUCGCCUCCCAAAAUGUAACGGAGGCGCCCAAAGGUUCCCUCAGCGCGAACGGAAACCGCGCAAAGAGUGUAAAGGCAGAAGGGAGCUUGACUGCGAGUCAGACACGACGAGCAGGUACGAAAGUAGGGCUUAGUGAUCCGGUGGUUCCGAGUGGAAGGGCCAUCGCUCAACGGAUAAAAGCUACCCUGGGGAUAACAGGCUAAUCUCUCCCAAGAGUCCAUAUCGACGGGGAGGUUUGGCACCUCGAUGUCGGCUCAUCACAUCCUGGGGCUGGAGCAGGUCCCAAGGGUUGGGCUGUUCGCCCAUUAAAGUGGUACGUGAGCUGGGUUCAGAACGUCGUGAGACAGUUCGGUCCAUAUCCAUCGCGGGCGUAAGAGACUUGAAGGGGGCUGCUCCUAGUACGAGAGGACCGGAGUGGACGGACCAAUGGUGUACCAAUUAUCCCGCCAGGGGUACAGUUGGGUAGCUACGUCCGGAAAAGAUAAACGCUGAAAGCAUCUAAGCGUGAAACUUGCCUUAAGAUGAGGUCUCCCGAAGCGAAAGCUUGAAAGACACCUUGAAGAUGACGAGGUUGAUAGGCCAGGAGUAGAAGUUCAGUAAUGAAUGUAGCGUACUGGUACUAAUAAGUCGAGA